rnacentral:snRNA from 1 species
AUGCUUGCUUCAGCAGUACAUAUACUAAAAUUGAAACAAAACAGAGAAGAUUAGCAUGGUCCCUGUACAAGGAUGAUACACAAAUUCAUGAAGCAUUCCAUAAAUAU